rnacentral:rRNA from 1 species
UACGGGGGGGGCAAGCGUUGUUCGGAAUUACCGGGCGUAAAGGGCUCGUAGGCGGCCAACUAAGUCAGACGUGAAAUCCCUCGGCUUAACCGGGGAACUGCGUCUGAUACUGGAUGGCUUGAGAUUGGGAGAGGGAUGCGGAAUUCCAGGUGUAGCGGUGAAAUGCGUAGAUAUCUGGAGGAACACCGGUGGCGAAGGCGGCAUCCUGGACCAACACUGACGCUGAGUGAGCGAAAGCCAGGGGAGCAAACGGG